rnacentral:rRNA from 1 species
AUUCUUCGGAUGAAGUCUUUUGUGACUGAGUGGCGGACGGGUGAGUAACGCGUGGGUAACCUGCCUCAUACAGGGGGAUAACAGUUAGAAAUGACUGCUAAUACCGCAUAAGCGCACAGUACCGCAUGGUACAGUGUGAAAAACUCCGGUGGUGUGAGAUGGACCCGCGUCUGAUUAGCUUGUUGGCAGGGUAACGGCCUACCAAGGCAACGAUCAGUAGCCGACCUGAGAGGGUGACCGGCCACAUUGGGACUGAGACACGGCCCAGACACC